rnacentral:misc_RNA from 1 species
UCUCCGUUGGUGAACCAGCGGAAGGAUCAUUACAGAGUUGUAAACCUCCCAAACCAUUGUGAACGUUACCUAUCCCGUUGCUUCGGCGGGCGGCCCGGGCCCCGCGCCCGGCGCCCCCCGGCCCCCCGUGGGCGCCCGCCGGAGGUAAACCAAACCCUUGAAUUGCAUGGCCUCUCUGAGUCUUCUGUACUGAAUAAGUCAAAACUUUCAACAACGGAUCUCUUGGUUCCG